AGGACUGGACUUUUGUUUGGAUUCUGGCUCAUUUCUUUGAAGAAGCAGAGAAUUUGGAAGAAGAGGAGAUAGGAGGCUUGAAUUCCACUAAUAGGGAAAAGUACUUUAAUCCUAGCAGAUCACAGGUUAACCUUCUGUGGGAAAAACCACCUGAAUAAAACAAGUCUGAGCUCUGGGCAUAGGAAGAUUAGCCAGACUGGAGGAAAAAUUCAAUACUUUCUACUAUUAAGACCUGCCACUAUUUUAUCAAC